rnacentral:rRNA from 1 species
UACGUAGGGGGCUAGCGUUGUCCGGAAUCAUUGGGCGUAAAGCGCGUGUAGGCGGUCCGGUAAGUCCGCUGUGAAAGUCGGGGGCUCAACCCUCGAAUGCCGGUGGAUACUGUCGGGCUAGAGUGCGGAAGAGGCGAGUGGAAUUCCUGGUGUACGCGGUGAAAUGCGCAGAUAUCAGGAGGAACACCAAUUGCGAAGGCAGCUCGCUGGGACGUAACUGACGCUGGAGAACGCGAAAGCCGUGGGGAGCAAACAGG